rnacentral:rRNA from 1 species
AUUGAACGCUGGCGGCAGGCCUAACACAUGCAAGUCGAGCGGAUGACGGGAGCUUGCUCCUUGAUUCAGCGGCGGACGGGUGAGUAAUGCCUAGGAAUCUGCCUGGUAGUGGGGGACAACGUUUCGAAAGGAACGCUAAUACCGCAUACGUCCUACGGGAGAAAGCAGGGGACCUUCGGGCCUUGCGGUAUCAGAUGAGCCUAGGUCGGAUUAGCUAGGUGGUGGGGUAAUGGCCCACCAAGGCGACGAUCCGUAACUGGUCUGAGAGGAUGAUCAGUCACACUGGAACUGAGACACGGUCCAGACUCCUACGGGAGGCAGCAGUGGGGAAUAUUGGACAAUGGGCGAAAGCCUGAUCCAGCCAUGCCGCGUGUGUGAAGAAGGUCUUCGGAUUGUAAAGCACUUUAAGUUGGGAGGAAGGGCAGUAAGUUAAUACCUUGCUGUUUUGACGUUUCCGACAGAAUAAGCACCGGCUAACUCUGUGCCAGCAGCCGCCGUAA